rnacentral:tRNA from 1 species
GGGGGCGUAGCUCAGCUGGGAGAGCACGUCGUUCGCAACGACGGGGUCGGCGGUUCGAAUCCGCUCGCCUCCACCA